rnacentral:lncRNA from 1 species
CAGAACCCCUAAAAAACGCGAUUGUUCUUCUUCUCCGAAUUUUGUUCAAAUCCGAGCGAGUGAAGCCCAAAUCCUAAUUCAUGCGUCCCUCCUUAUCUCAUCUCACCAUUUCUAACGAUUUCUGACACUAAAAAUGCUUCCUCCCUUCACUCUCUCAACUCAGAGAUUUAGCACGCGAUUGGAAGGUCCUAGAGACGAAUCGUUGGAUGAGGAUGAGUCAUUGGAUUGAAUUUGUUCAACCCUCCAUUCACUCUCUCAACUCAGAGAUUUAGCACGCGAUUGGAAGGUCCUAGAGACGAAUCGUUGGAUGAGGAUGAAUCGUUGGAUUGACUUCGUUCAAUCCAAGCCCUAUUUUCAUCAGGGGUUCGUUCUAUAAAGGACGGGAUCCGAUUUUGAGAAGGGGGUUUUUUUUGGAGAGAAGAAGAUCUGAAGGCAGAUUCAAGAGGAGUAAAAUUCUAGAGCUUAGUGUUCUUCACAUCUAUUAUUGCUUUUUUUCUUCAUUCGUAGUGUUAAUUCUAAAAAAACAUAUACAGAAAUGUUUAAAGUCCUGUGAAUCUAUUGUUGCUUGGUUCACUGUCCACCCGCUUCGAAAUACAUGAAUUAUGUCCUAAAAGUCAUUGGAAUUCGUUGUUGAUCGAGGCAUUGAUUUGUGGCUGCUGUUGCAUUGCAUCGAUUUCAAGUGUUGGGACUCCUUCACUUUUUUUUCAGGUUUACCUCUGCUUCUUCUAUUAUUUCUAUUGUGAAGUGAAUCCUAGAUGGCCCUGGACCGAUUGUUAAAAUGAAUUCAGUUGUGAUAAUAGAUGAGGCUUGUAUGGUUACCCUCGACUUCAUUUAUUGUUAUGCUUUCAACGUUUCCCAUGAAUUCAUGUGUAGUGAGUCAGUUUCUGAAUAGACGAGGAGUAACAUUUGUUUGGUUUCAUCAUCGUAUUCGUGUUUGUACUGACUUGUAUUAUCCUUCAGCUCGUACCUUCUUCGAAUUUGAUCCCUACUGAUGUUGCAAAUUUGGUAUAAGAUUGUUUUAGUAUCAUCCUUCAGCUCAUACCUGCUUCGAAUUUGAUCCCCUGCUAAUGUUGUAAAUUGGGUAGAUUGUAGCUUUAUAGUGCCAAGGUUGUUUCCUGUUGCAUCUGUUCAAAAAUAAGCUUUGACGAGAAUUCAUCGCCGUUGUUUGAUUCCUGAAUGAGUGUCUAAGUCGUCUUUGAAAUGCUGAGAAUUGAACACCAUCUUAUAACCCCCUAUUCUAACUGUCACCACCUCAUAUCUUAUUUUCUCUUUGUUAAUUUUGGUUUCAGUCGAGAUAGGCUGUUUAUUUGACCAAAUAUCAGUGGUUUCUCGCUAGGCGAUGAUCAUUCCUUAAUAAUUUGAACUUGAAGCUGUCCUAAUCUACUUUGUUGAUGAAAAUUUAAGCACGCUUCCUCGAGCUGGUUCUGCCUGUGUAUGUGUAGUCUAUUUUUUGUGCUGGAAAUCAUUUGAAUCAUUAGCUAUUCGAUCUAUCGUCGCCUUAACUUCGUGACCCUGGUGUUAAGUUUGGUGUUUGUAAAGCUGUUAGCUAAUAUUAUUCUCUGAGUUUCUUCCUCUUCAGUCUUAAUGAAGCUGUCUCAUGGCAUUACUUGCUUGCCUGCUGUUGUAGCUGGUGAUUUAUUCAUCAAUUAUCAACCCUCUCCAUCCUUCUGCCAUAGAACACAUACAGUGCAACUCUCAUUCUGUUAGUAAAGCCCCAUCGUCACCAUCUUCCUUCAUUCUCUCAGCGUAAAUUCAUGAAUGUGCUACCAAUCAAAAUGGAUCAAAUUGUGUCUCCAAAUCUAAAUCUCAUUCGGAGUUGUUGUUGUUGGUAUAUCGUGAUUAUGAUUUGAAAAAUCCCCUUUAAUUGUGAAAUUUGAAGCAUAUGUAGCAAACAAGGGUCAUUUCUCUUCUCUUAGUAUAUUUUCUGACAUGAACAGCUAGUGUAACUGUCUUCAAUAAGUUCUGCAGAUUCGUUUGGAUUGCUAUGUUUUAUCUGAUAAAUUUGGUGUUCCUAAUGUGUUGACUGGCAAGGUUUGUGAUGGUUUUAAUAUUGUUCCACUGGUUCAUUUGGCAUUUAUUAGAAUUGUUUGACUAGUAUCAAAAGUAAGAUCCAAUGUUGCUAUCUC